CCUACGGGUGGCUGCAGUGGGGAAUAUUGGGCAAUGGCGCAAGCCUGACCCAGCAACGCCGCGUGAAGGAAGAAGGCUUUCGGGUUGUAAACUUCUUUUAAGAGGGAAGGGCAGAAGACGGUACCUCUUGAAUAAGCCACGGCUAACUACGUGCCAGCAGCCGAGGUAAUCCGUAGGUGGCAAGGGUUGGUCGGAUUUACUGGGUGUAAAGGGCAGGUAGCCGAGCUGACAAGUCAGAUGUGAAAGCCGGGGGCUCAACCACCGAACGGCAGUUGAAACUGUUGGUCUUGAGUAUCGGAGAGGCAGGCUGAAUUCCUAGGGUAGCGGUGAAAUGCGUAGAUAUUAGGAGGAACACCAGUGGCGAAGGCGGCCUGCUGGACGACAACUGACGGUGAGGCGCGAAAGCGUGGGGAGCAAACAGGAUUAGAUACCCGAGUAGUC
rnacentral:rRNA from 1 species